rnacentral:tRNA from 1 species
GCCCCCAUCGUCUAGUGGUCUAGGACAUCGCCCUUUCACGGCGACGACACCGGUUCGAACCCGGUUGGGGUA